GUCUAUGGCCAUACCACCCUGAAUGUGCCCAAUCUCAUCUGAUCUUGGAGGCUAAGCAUGGUCAGGCCUGGUUAGUACUUGGAUGGGAGAUUACAAGAAGCUAUAUUUA
rfam:Heterocephalus glaber contig210754, whole genome shotgun sequence.